ACGAGGUCGGUAUUAUUUUAAAUAAAAAAUAAAAUAUUUUACUUAUACCGACCUCAUGAGGUCGGUAUAAUCUGUCAAAUAAAGACCCAUUAUACCCGUUCCUGUACUCGUUCCCAUUUCUGCCUCUCUCUUCUCACUUCUCUCUCCCCCUCUCUGUCUAACCCUAGAAACUCCGGCGACGUCACCGCCGAUCCUGCCGGUCAUGACACGCCGCCACCGUCCCUACCCACGCCCACGUCGUCCAUAUUUUAGGUAAGCCCUAACUUAUCCUUUGGUAAAGGUGAAUACUUUGGUCUCCCAAGCUUUAGAAAUUGGAACUAUUGUCUGUUGGAUUUAAGUUAGAAUAAUCCUCGUUUGACAGUUUAAUUUUACGAUUUAUAUGGCUGAAAUGUUGAUAUGGGAACUGUAUAUAUAUGGCUGAAGUAUUUCUUGUUGAUUCUCUAAAAUUUUCCCUUUAUUUUAAUUUGGUAUAUUUGUGUUGAUUUGCCCUUAAUGAUUAUUCUUGUUUGUGAGAUAUUGGGUAAUUUUUAGUUUGUUGAGUUUGGCAAAGGGAAAUUCUUUGGGUUGUCAAAUUUCUUGUUGAUUCUCCAAAUUGUUGUCUUUGUUUUAAUUUGGUAUUUGGUGCUGAUUUUUGCUUGAUGAUUAUGUUUGGUGUGAGAUACUGGGUAAUUUUUAGUUUGUUGAGUUUGCUAAAGGUGAAUUAUUUGGUCUCCUUGCUUGAGAGGCUUUAGUUUUAGAAAUUGGACAAUCCGUCUGUUGGAUUUUAAGGUAGAUUUCUUUUGACAGUAUAAUAUGACUAUGUAUAUGGCUGAAAUAUUGAUAUGGGAACUGUAUCCAUGUUAAAUGAAGUUUGCAACUUUAGUAUCUGGCUUCCAGAAAUUUUUAUUUUUGCAUGGUUUGCUCGAAGUUCUGAUAGUUAAGUUAAAGAAAGAAGAUCAUCAUGAAGUAUUUUGCUACAUAUGGUUUUUAUAGAAUAAUGUUUUUGGACUCAUAACUCGGAUGUAUGUACAUACUCUGCUUCUUGUCUUGAGGGCAACUAAUGGUGUGAUAUUUAUUUUCAGGGAAUUAGCUUAUUUCUAUUCUUUACAGGAUGCAUUUGUUGCUGAGCAGCUGUUUCAAGGCUCUGAAAAUUCUUCAUAACUGGGACUGAUUCUUGUUUCCUGAAGUUGGCACAGCGGUGAUCUCUUUAUAUAGCCUUUAUUUCAGUACUGGGGAUAGAAUUAACUUGUUACUGGAUCCUUCAACAGAAAGCAUCUUGUUGGAAGAGUUGUGUUAAGAAAGGGGAAGUUGAGUUUAGGGGAAGUUGAAUGCAUGUGGACUUUAAAGUCAAAGGUAUGUCUUUUUUAAGAUUGUUAUGCACAUUGAGAAGGGAAAUAAUGAGUAAAGUUGCCAUGUUUAUUGGUCUUUCUUCUUAUAUAAGGAUCUGAAUAUUUGGUUGACUUUUGUUCUUUCAUGUUUCAGUAUUGGAUUUAUAUGUGUGCGCCCAAUAGUUUUCUUCUUCUUUUUUGUUUUGUUGUUUCAUUUUGCUAUUGAUUUCUAAACCUUUUAUAGAAAAUAUAUCUAUGCAUGUGGACUUUAAAGUCAAAGGUAUGUCUUUUUAAGAUUGUUAUGCAUAUUGAUAAGGGAAAUAAUGGGUAAAGUUGCUAUGGUGUUCUGUAUAUUUUUUGUUUAUGGGGUAAUAGGAAAAUGGUUUUUUCCUUUUAAUAUUUGCAGAGUGGUGUUGUUGAUGCAAUAAAGAUCUGAAUUUUUGGUUGACUUUUUCUUGAUCUUUUGUUCUUUCAUGUUUUAGUAUUGGAUUUAUUUAUGUGUAUGCCCAGUAGUUUUCGUCUUGUUACAGUUUCAUCUUGCUAUUGAUAUCUAAAUUUCCCUUUUUGGGUAAGGUGUAUAUGCUUGUUUGCUACUUUGGUUUAGAUAAGGAAUGUUCUACAUAGUGAAAAUCUUGAAUGCAUGUGGACUUAAAGUCAAAGGUAUGUCUUUUUAAGAUUGUUAUGCAUAAUACAAAGGGAAAUAAUGAGUAAAGUUGCAAACUUUAUUGGUUUUCUGUAUAUUUCUGUUUAUGGGUUGUGAUAGGAAGCUGGGUUUUUUCUUCUAAUAUCCAUGGAAGUUCUGUUGAUAAUAGCAACAUUUGCAAAGUGGUGUUACUGAUGCAAUAAAGAUCUGAAUAUUUGGUUAACUUUUUCCUGAUCUUUUGUUCUUUCAUGUUUCAGUAUUGGAUUUGUUUAUGUGUAUGCCAAGUAAUUUUCUUCUUCUUAUAGUUUCAUUUUGCUUUUGAUUUCUACAUUUUCCUUGUUGGGUUUUGUGUAUAUACUGGUUUGGUUAGAUAAUUGUGAAAAUAUGUACAUCACUUGAUUUGGAGGAGGUUCAGAUUAUACCGAUUUUCAUGGGAAUACUUUUAUAUAACAGUGCCUGAAAUGGUUAACCCGUGGUUCUCUUCAGGUACUGCAUUACUGAAAGAGUAAAUCUUCCUUUCCGUGUAUUACCAACUAUCAAAGAAUUAGGCCGUACACGUACGGAAGUGAAUGUUAAGCUAGCUUCUUCAAAAACAGAUCUUCAAUAUGGACAACUUGGUGCAAGAUAAGAUUUCCGGGACAAACUGAGUGCUGAUGUUGAGCUAAUGAUUCCAUCCCUCCUGAGAGACCUGAUAGCUGUGUUCGCUUAAGUUGACGAUUUUCUUUAUCCCUUGUAUGGAUCUUUUGGAGGGCUUUCUGUGGGGUGGGGUUCCCAUGUUUACAACAUCUGGUUUUCGUUUUCGGUUUCUUAAGGUGUGGGAGAAGAGUGGCUACAACACAGUUGAGUAGGUUCGUUAUAUCACUAAAGCUGCUUCGUACGAGAUAAGGUGCUAAGAUGAAAGAACUACUUGAGUUGAGGUUGUCUUCGAUUGAUAGCCGGUGUAAAAAUUAAUCUUUUUGAGGGAUGGAAUCAUACCAACACUUAUGCACCGGAUCCUGUCAGAACUUUAAAUGUGCGUGGGCGAGAAUAGUACUAGGAUGGGUGACCCGCGGAGAGUUCUCAUGUUUCAUCUGUUACUGACCCAACUAGUUUGGAAUUGAGGCGGAGCUUGAUUAUCUUCUUCUUCUUUUUUUUUCUUUUUUUUUUUGUGGUGUUGUUGUUGUAAUUGAUUUGUGAGAACUGACAGAAGAGACCUUUGGUUAAUACUUUUCUAGUCCUUUUACUUAUUGUUGUUGGUUUGUUUGAUAUAUUUUCCCACACAAAUUAUUGUAUCUUUGUCUUGCUGGUUCCUGGAAAUGAAUUAGAAGCUAUUUAACCUUCUAUUAAUUGAAAUGUUUUCUUUUGGUUC